UACAGAGGGUGCAAGCGUUGUUCGGAAUCAUUGGGCGUAAAGCGCACGUAGGCGGCUUUGCAAGUCAGGUGUGAAAGCCUGGGGCUCAACCCCAGAAGUGCAUUUGAAACUGCAGAGCUUGAGUCUUGGAGAGGGCAGUGGAAUUCCGAGUGUAGAGGUGAAAUUCGUAGAUAUUCGGAGGAACACCAGUGGCGAAGGCGGCUCACUGGUCCGGUUCUGACGCUGAGGCGCGAAAGCGUGGGGAGCAAACAGG
rnacentral:rRNA from 1 species